AGAAAGAGAGAGAGAAAGAGAAAGAGAAAGAGAGUCAAGAACACUCUUGACAAGAGGAAAGAGAGGAUGAUCUUUUUUUUCCUUAGUAGUUUUUUCUUUUUUUAAUAAUCUUUUUUUUUUUUGAUUUU
rnacentral:ribozyme from 13 species